UCUCUCCCUCCCGCCGAGGGCUUUGGGGCCAUGCUGCUGGCCGGGGGGUCGGUCUGGACAUGUCACUUGUGCCGUAUUGCUGGCAAGCGUCUCCCUUUUUCGAUGGCAUCUAAAGUUGCCUGAAAAUAUGCAGGGGCAGGACGGAGGAACAGCAUCCGACAUACCCUCAGGCAGGACUUUGUUCGCCAUCUAAGAUGGAAAACCGAAGAGUCACAAAUGGGAUGGAAAUAGUCUUCCCCGUGGCAAG